rnacentral:rRNA from 1 species
GCGUGAGCAACUUGCCUUAGAGUGGGGGACGAGCCAUCCGAAAGGAUGAUUAAUACCGCAUAAUACCUUCGGGUUAAAGACUGGCUUCGGCUGGCGCUCUAAGAUAGGCUCGCGUCCUAUCAGCUUGUUGGUGAGGUAAUGGCUCACCAAGGCAAUGACGGGUAGCUGUUCUGAGAGGAAGAUCAGCAACACUGGAACUGAGACACGGUCCAGACACCUACGGGUGGCAGCAGUCGAGAAUCAUUCACAAUGGGGGCGAACCCUGAUGGUGCAACGCCGCGUGGAGGAUGAAGGCCCUAG